rnacentral:tRNA from 1 species
GGAAGAGUGCCCGAGUGGUUAAAGGGGACGGACUGUAAAUCCGUUGACUCAGUCUACGUUGGUUCGAAUCCAACCUCUUCCACCA